rnacentral:lncRNA from 1 species
ACGGCCUAUCUGAUAAGACAAAAUACGACUGGCAGGUAUCCAGAUGCAUCUGAGAAGAGAUAUGUGGAAACACAUAGAAUAUAUGAACAUCAAGCACAUCGUGUGCAUUAAAAUUAUAAGAUUUCUUCAGUUUCUUGGCUAUACUUGGGGAUAUGGUUCCUCCACCAAAUACCAAUUUCCAUAAUCAUUGCGUUAGUAAAGACCCGCGAAUUCCAUUGAGUUGUGCCGAAAAAAGAGGACGAAAGAAUAUGACUUCAUGGUGGAGAGGAUGUCGAAGAGUAAUUUCGAAGGAUUUACCUCACGGAGGAGACGAGCGGAGCGACUGGAACAGAGGCUCCUCCGGGCGGGAUGAGAACUGGGGCAUCGGAAGGCGUUUGGGAUCGCCGUCGCCAUUUCAUAUCUUCUUGAUUUCAGAUUCCGUUGGGUUUUAGGGUUUUAGAUCUUUUGGGGAGGGGAGCUACGUGCAGAAGGCGGAGAGUGGCCGUCCAAACCCA